ACGGAAGGCAGCAGUGGGGAAUAUUGGGCAAUGGGCGCAAGCCUGACCCAGCAACGCCGCGUGAAGGAUGAAGGUCUUCGGAUUGUAAACUUCUUUAAUCGGGGAAGAAAAAAAUGACCUACCCGAAGAAUAAGCCACGGCUAACUACGUGCCAGCAGCCGCGGUAAUACGUAGGUGGCAAGCGUUAUCCGGAUUUACUGGGUGUAAAGGGCGUGUAGGCGGGACAUCAAGUCAGAUGUGAAAGCACGAGGCUCAACUUCGUGUCUGCAUUUGAAACUGACGUUCUUGAGUGUUGGAGAGGCUAACGGAACUCCUAGUGUAGCGGUGAAAUGCGUAGAUAUUAGGAAGAACACCAGUGGCGAAGGCGGUUAGCUGGACAAUAACUGACGCUGAGGCGCGAAAGCGUGGGUAGCAAACAGGAUUAGAUACCCUGGUA
rnacentral:rRNA from 1 species